rnacentral:rRNA from 1 species
AGUAGCCGCGGUAAUACAGAGGGUGCGAGCGUUAAUCGGAUUUACUGGGCGUAAAGCGUGCGUAGGCGGCUUCUUAAGUCGGAUGUGAAAUCCCUGAGCUUAACUUAGGAAUUGCAUUCGAUACUGGGAAGCUAGAGUAUGGGAGAGGAUGGUAGAAUUCCAGGUGUAGCGGUGAAAUGCGCAGAGAUCUGGAGGAAUACCGAUGGCGAAGGCAGCCAUCUGGCCUAAUACUGACGCUGAGGUACGAAAGCAUGGGGAGCAAACAGGAUUAGAUACCCCUGUAGUCCCUGUCUCUUAUACA